rnacentral:rRNA from 1 species
GACGAACGCUGGCGGCAUGCCUAACACAUGCAAGUCGAGCGAGUUGAUCCCUUCGGGGUGAAGCUAGCGGCGGACGGGUGAGUAACACGUGGGCAACCUACCUCAUAGAGGGGAAUAGCCUUCCGAAGGGAAGAUUAAUACCGCAUAAGAUUGUAGCUUCGCAUGAAGCAGCAAUUAAAGGAGCAAUCCGCUAUGAGAUGGGCCCGCGGCGCAUUAGCUAGUUGGUGAGGUAACGGCUCACCAAGGCGACGAUGCGUAGCCGACCUGAGAGGGUGAUCGGACACAUUGGGACUGAGACACGGCCCAGACUCCUACGGGAGGCAGCAGUGGGGAAUAUUGCACAAUGGAGGAAACCCUGAUGCAGCAAUGCCGCGUGAGUGAUGACGGCCUUCGGGUUGUAAAGCUCUGUCUUCGGGGACGAUAAUGACGGUACCCGAGGAGGAAGCCACGGCUAACUACGUGCCAGCAGCCGCCGUAA